rnacentral:snoRNA from 1 species
UCCAUGAUGAUGAAUGAAGAUGUUUCCUUCAGAGCAGGAAGCUGGUGAGAAGAUGAGAAUCUUCUUCACUGAUGAAGACUGUUCAGUGUUUCUGGAUGUGACACUGAAGGAGGAAACAUUGUCUGAGUGGC